GCAUCCAUGGCUGAAUGGUUUAAAGCGCCCAACUCAUAAUUGGUAAAUUUGCGGGUUCAAUUCCUGCUGGUGCA
rnacentral:tRNA from 1 species